rnacentral:rRNA from 1 species
GGUUUAAUUCGAAGCAACGCGAAGAACCUUACCAAGUCUUGACAUCCUCUUGACCGGUCAGUAAUGUGACCUUUUCUUCGGAACAAGAGUGACAGGUGGUGCAUGGUUGUCGUCAGCUCGUGUCGUGAGAUGUUGGGUUAAGUCCCGCAACGAGCGCAACCCUUAUCCUUAGUAGCCAGCAGUCCGGCUGGGCACUCUAGGGAGACUGCCAGGGAUAACCUGGA